CGAUUCAUUUAAGAGAUUUAUUUAUUUACUUAUUUAUUUUUAUAUGCAAGUAAUAGUUAACUUCAGCAAAACUUGCAUCUAAUGUUUUGUUUUAUUCACUUCAAGAGUUCCUAUGUUUGUUGUAGGUGGGGCUGUAAAUAGUGUAACACCGGGUGAAUGUUAAAGCUUCCCUCUGUGUGCCCGCGCUCAGUCGCGUGGUGCACGCAGAUGGUGAAGCAGAGGAUUGAGAGGGUUUCCAGUGUUAAAUUAUACUGACUGUGCCUCACUGUUUUGUUAAGGUAUGUUGUUUUGGUUAUUGGCUUGUUAUUUUAAGGAUUCAAAUAUGUAAAUCAGUUUAAAUUACAGUAAUGGUGUCAUUUAAUUGUGUCAUGGCAGAUUUUCAACUAAUAAUUUAAUUAAUGCAAACAAAAAGGGUUUUAUUUUAUCAGUGAUCAAAAGAAAAUUAAUGCAAUUUACAAUUAACAGUUAUUUAAUGUUACAUAUUUUAUUUAUAUUAUGCAAUUUAUGUGAUUUUGUUUUUAUUGGCAUUUAAAUGUUUAAAAUAGUAAAAUACAUAUUUCUCUGUGUGCCUGCUCAGUCGCGUGGUGCACGCAGAUGGUGAAGCAGAGGAUUGAGAGGGUUUCCAGUGUUAAAUUAUACUGACUGUGCCUCACUGUUUUGUUAAGGGAAUAAAUCAGUGUUUCUCCACCUCA